UUUCCGUAGGUGAACCUGCGGAAGGAUCAUUCAUAAUAAGUGUUUUAUGGCACUUUUUUAAAUCCAUAACCACCUUGUGUGCAAUGUCAGGGUUGACUUUUCUCUCGAGAGGAUCAACCCCAAACAUCAACUAUAUCUCAACUCUUUGUCUGAAAAAUAUUAUGAAUAAAACAAUUCAAAAUACAACUUUCAACAACGGAUCUCUUGGCUCUC
rnacentral:misc_RNA from 1 species